rnacentral:rRNA from 1 species
GAACUGAAGAGUUUGAUCAUGGCUCAGAUUGAACGCUGGCGGCAGGCCUAACACAUGCAAGUCGAGCGGAUGAAGGGGGCUUGCUCCUGGAUUCAGCGGCGGACGGGUGAGUAAUGCCUAGGAAUCUGCCUGGUAGUGGGGGAUAACGUCCGGAAACGGGCGCUAAUACCGCAUACGUCCUGAGGGAGAAAGUGGGGGAUCUUCGGACCUCACGCUAUCAGAUGAGCCUAGGUCGGAUUAGCUAGUUGGUGGGGUAAAGGCCUACCAAGGCGACGAUCCGUAACUGGUCUGAGAGGAUG